GCGGAUGUAGCCAAGUGGAUUAAGGUGGUGGAUUGUGAAUCCAUUAUGCGGGUUCAAUUCCCGUCCUUCGCC
rnacentral:tRNA from 1 species